GGGAGGCAGCAGUGGGGAAUUUUGCGCAAUGGGGGAAACCCUGACGCAGCAACGCCGCGUGGGUGAAGAAGGCCUUCGGGUCGUAAAGCCCUGUCGGGUGGGAAGAAAUGCAGGGAGGUCAAUAACCUUUUUGCUUGACGGUACCACCAGAGGAAGCACCGGCUAACUCCGUGCCAGCAGCCGCGGUAAUACGGAGGGUGCAAGCGUUAUUCGGAAUUACUGGGCGUAAAGGGCGUGCAGGCGGGAGGUUGUAAGUCUGAUGUGAAAGCCCGGGGCUCAACCCCGGAAGUGCAUUGGAAACUGCCCUUCUUGAGUGCCGGAGAGGAAGGGGGAAUUCCCGGUGUAGAGGUGAAAUUCGUAGAGAUCGGGAGGAAUAUCAGUGGCGAAGGCGCCCUUCUGGACGGCAACUGACGCUGAGACGCGAAAGCGUGGGGAGCAAACAGGAUUAGAUACCCCGGUA
rnacentral:rRNA from 1 species